UACAGAGGGUGCAAGCGUUGUUCGGAAUUAUUGGGCGUAAAGGGAGUGUAGGCUGUUCCUUAAGUCUUCUGUGAAAUCUACGGGCUUAGCCUGUAACGUGCAGAGGAAACUGGGGGGACUUGAGUGUCGGAGAGGGUAGCGGAAUUCCCGGUGUAGAGGUGAAAUUCGUAGAGAUCGGGAGGAACACCAGUGGCGAAGGCGGCUACCUGGCUGACAACUGACGCUGAGACUCGAAAGCAUGGGGAGCAAACAGG
rnacentral:rRNA from 1 species